ACUCUCUAGUGUUGAAGAAAGAGUUAGUCUCUAGUGUUGAAGAAAGGACCACCCACUGUGAUUUGAAGAGAGCGACAGAAGUGAUCUACAUUAAAAGAAAGGACCACAGAGUUACUCUCUAGUCAUUGCCAGCUUCUCUCCUAUCUUCCUAUUCUUGCGUUCUCUAACAAGCACGAAGAAUUUAAAAGAAAAUGCCAUUCGAAAGGGAAAAUUUUAAUGCAGCAGUACACAGUGUUUUCACCUUGACCAUAGCAAGUUUAAUUGGCCUCAUUCAAAUCAAGCCUUUGGUUGAUACAGACACACACAUUAUAUUACCAAUCUUUCUUAUUGCUCUACUCACAUAUGGGUUUGGAACUAUCUUUCAAGCUUGGAACUCCUUCAAUUCAAUUACUAGCAAAGUUGGCUUAUUUGCUCUUGGAUUAGCCGUAGUUGCACUUGUGCUUAUGGUUUUGCCAAUUUUGGGUUGGAUCAUUUUAAUCUUAUGGGCCUCCUUGUUAACUAAAGUAGUAUAAAACUCAAGGGAUAAUAUUUACAGUUUAAUCAGUAAAUUACGAGAGAGAUUCAACCAGAUAAUUGGAAGCAAAUUACGAGAGAAAUUCAAUAAAAUAAUUGGAAUCACAAGUCAAGUUACAGAAGAGUAAACUACGAGAGAGACAAUUGAAAUCAUAAGUUAUGUUAUAUAAGAGCAUGACAAUUUAUCUAUGUAAUUUUUUUUUUGAAAUAACGCAGCUCUCUGAUUAUAUAUCGAAUGAAAAUGUGCUAUUUUGUGUAGUUACCAUAAAAUGGAAAAUGUGCUAUUUUGUGUAGUUACCAUAAAAUGGAAAAGAGAUAGAAUUUUUAUUUAAUUUCAGUGAUAGUCCUUUAAUUUCAUUUAUUCAAUUAUUUUUAUAAUCAUUUGAAAAAAAUAAACAAAAAAAAAAAAUCCUAAUCUUAAAGACCGUAUGUAUUCCCAACUUCCAUAGUCAAUUUAUUUGGUAAAGCCCACAUCUCACUAUCUCUCCACGACCCGACCCUGCCUCUCCUUCAUACUGAGUACUAAUAUUAGCGUUUAAUUAAUGAACUACGAAAAAAAUUCAACUAGGUAAUUGAAAUUAUAAGUUGUCCUAGUGUAGAAGAGCACGUUGAUUUACCUGAUUUACCUUAGUAAUUCCUUUUUGAAAUAACGUAGCUGUUUAGCCCGUAUUUUUAUUUUCCAAAUUUUGAAUUUUUAUUAAAUUCCCGGCAACCGUAGACGGCGUCCUCUCAGGCGAACGGCCGGCGAUUCUCCUGCGAGGCCCCAUGAGACAUAUUGGUCUCCUCUUCGCGCGGACGAGGAGUGGUAGUUCGAAUCUCAAUCGGCGCAGCCAUAGCCUGAAUCCAUCUUCUCGACGAGGGAAGCUUCAUUGUAGCCUCAGGUUGCGCGAUUGAGUGCGUGGGUGGAAGAAAUCGAGCCAGAAUACUUCAACGCCGCCGCGACACGUUUAUCGGCGAAUCCCGUCGACGCCGGUGAAGACACUCCACGAGGAGACCACCGAUUUGACUCCUCAAUUCCAGGCGAGUCUCUCUCUCUCUCUCUUCCAUUGAUCUCGGCGACAGGGCUCAACGGACGGAAACGCCAUGGACGGCAGUGGCAAGCCACUGUCGGGGUCAUUUCCGGCCAAAAUAGGCACGCCCAGUCCAAGGGGAUCUCGCGAUCGUAGUCCCCAUAAGAUUUCGAGCAUUUUGGUAUAAAUGUUGCUCAAUUCCGGCUAUGGUCGAUUUCCGGCCACCGUAGACGGCGGAAUCCACUAUGCCAGAAAUGGGUUCAAUCUCAUGGAUUCAGACCUGGUGAAGCUAUGUGCUGUGGAAGCGUCUUUAUGGGGAAAAUAUUUGGGCGCAUUAUGUUGAUGAACUUAUUCUUACACCACCUUGUCUCUGAAAUGCUAUCUGUUGUCUGGUUUUAUAGCCUUGUCAGUGAGCUAAAUGAUUUUAUCUCCCUUUGAUUUCCCUAUCUAUGUGCAACAUUGAAUCUCUCUUCCAACAA